CCAAUUCUAUUUUCAUAUUGGCUUUCAUAAUCUUCUUGUUGGGAGUGAUUGUUCACACUUAGUAAAGGAAAUAAACAGUGUUGAUUCACCUUCUCUUCUAGAAGAACUGUUAUCACUGAAAUCAGAAGACUUAUGCUUAGAAUUAUGCACUGUCAGAUACAACAUGAUUCCCGUAUGGCUAAUGAGCAGCUCAUCACCUAGCAAGGCAUGCUUGGUCUAUUAUUGAUGUGGAAUUGUGGUGGCAUGGAGUUCCCCACUUUAUUGAUAACGCAACGGACAAUUUCGUUGCAAUUGCAUUUUUAAUGGUCAGGCGCCAAAACACACGAAAAUCAGAUUUCCCCCCGCCCCUGCUCCCCCUCCCCCCACCCGUAACAUUUCUCCCGUGCACUCCCAAAUCCCGACUUCACCUUCUUUCUUCUUCACAUUAAGCAAAACCCACUCAAAAAACCAUCCUACCCGGCUGUCUCUUCCACCGAAAACCACCACUAACAGCGGAGACUCCACCGAUUUGGCGACAGCGGAAGCAAAACCCACUCAUCGUCGUGCAUGACUCGCGAUUUAGUGGUUCCAGUUCAAAAAGUGCGAUUUUUGAAAUCGAUUAAGCUGCCGUUCGACAUCAAGCAAUACCACUUUGCCUAGUAGUAGUGGGUAAUUCAACUUGCCUCCUCCCCGUCCUCUCCUCCACUCGGUUGGAGUCGAUUACUGUUGUGAUAUGCAAGGCACGUACAUCGAAGGCCCCAUUCCUUCUAACGUAUCCAGGUUGACGAACUUAGAAGAAUUGGUGCUUAGGAAUUGCUUACAUAUCACUCUUCAAUCCCAGUUUGUAUUGGAGAGUUGACAGAAUUGGAGAUGUUGGUGGUGGAAGGUCCGCGGAGUUGGGGGUUUCCUUUGCUGAUUCAGAUGCCAAGUAUAUAGGGAGGGAAAGUAUGCAAGAAGCAAUGCACCUGGGAAAUUUGGAUAUGAGUGGACCGGAGCAAUCAAUUUGGCAAGGAUAGAGCAGAUGGAAAAGCAAUUAUGCUCCAUUGGAUUCUGUCAGGUUUAUUGAAGACCAAGACCUCAGAAGCUGAUGCUGGUAAACAAAAUGCGCAGCUUGAGGCAUAUGGCAGAACCUAUAAUUUGGAUGUGUAUUACAUUGUAUGGAUGUGUAUUAUAUUUUUUAUGUAUUCUGUUUUUAUGCAUUUUUUUUUUAAUUUUGUGAAAAACGUUUUCUGAUGAGUAAAAUUCGCUAGAAAUAUUUUUUUUCAUCCAUGCAACUUA